GGGUAACUCAGUGGUAGAGUGCCUGCUUAGCAUGCACAAGGUCCUGGGUUCAAUCCCCAGUAUCUCCA
rnacentral:tRNA from 1 species